rnacentral:lncRNA from 1 species
GAGCGUCCAAAAGCAGCAACUGACUUAUAAUGGCAUCAGCCACAAAGUCAUCAAUGUUGUUACCUAGAAAAACGAUUCGCUCCCUGAGCAACAACCCCAUAGCGUCGGCCUCGGCCCCUCGCAUGGCGGUGGCGGGGCUCUGAGGGGCUGACAAUUUGAGGGAAUUCGCAGUAGGUUUCAGUUUGAGAGAUGAGGAGAGGGGCGUGGAUGUGGGUGCGGAGCACACAAAGGAAGGGUUUGGGAAAGUAAGAGAGAGUUUAUGUUUAGGUUUGAGAUGAAGAGAGGAGAAGGAAGGGGUUAGAGAAGAUGAGAGGGAUAGUAAACCCAUGGCGCGUUGUGAUGUUGGUGGUGCGUCGAGAAAACUCAGUCACAGAUAAGCAACUACUCCGACUGAAGCCGCCACCCCUUUGCCCUUCG